UGAGUGUAUGGAAGGGGAGGAGGGAUGGAAUCAUACUGAAGUCACUGAGACUUCCUAAUUUAAUUUAAACUUAAUUUGCAUUUAACCCUCUUCACUCUGUUGGGGUGGGUUGAUUUAUGUAUAUGAUUUUUUUAUUCUUUCCUAAAUUACUUGAAAUACACUGAAUAAUUUUCUUGAAUAUUUUUAAAAUCCCACUAGGUUUCCUAAGUGACACCAUUUGUAAGAAGAGGUAUUCUCUCUCACUUCCUGCAGCCACAUCAGUUGAUUUAAGGAGGUAAAAAGAUACCUCUGGCCUCUAAGACUCUGAUGCAGGUUUGAAACAAAAGUAAUUUAAACUUUGAAAUAUCUUCUUCACUGUGAAAAUCUGAACUGCUGAGGUCAGCAGAAGUCAAAGGUUCUGUUCAGGUUGGACAGGAUGAAUGCAAUCUGCAGGUCCAUGUUGCAGCCUCUGUAGUGCAACAAGCAAGUUGUUUGUUGUGGCUCUGUCGUUAGUCUGUUUUCUGUUGCAGGUAGGCAUUGCUUUUGACUCACAAGGGAUUUGGAAACUUAAAUAGAGAGAAACUUGUGUGUGUGUGGCAGAUAUGUCUCCAGUGAAAAGUCCCCUUUAUCUUCACAAUAGUGUCUGGUACUAACUACAGUUAGAAAUUUGAUGGGAGGAAGAAUCGUUGUCUAUUCCACAUAUGUGUAGUUUAUACUCAUUUCUUUACUAGUAGAGUCAUAGAAUGGUUUGGGUUGGAAGGAACCUUAAAGAUCAUCUAGUUCUAAACCCCCAUGUCAUGGGCAGGGAUGACAUUCACUACUAAAUCAUGUUGCUUAGAGCUCCAUCCAGCCUGGCCUUGAACACUUCCAGAGAUGGGGCAACCACAUCUUCACUGAGAUACUAGUUGAAUGCUAAUCUCUGAACAAAGAAUUCAUUCCUAAUGUGAAUCUCUCCUCUUUUCUUUAUAACCAUUGCCCCUUGUCCUGUCAUUGUCUACCUGUGUAAAAAGUUCUCUCCUUCUUUCCUGUAAGCCUCCUGUAAGUACUGAAAGAGUUAGUGAGGUCUCCCUGGAGCUUUCUUUUCUCCAGGAUGAAAUCGCCCAGCCAUCUCAGGCGGUUUUCACUGGAGAGGCACUCCUACCCUGUGAUGAUGUUUGUGGUGCUCCAGCAAACCUGCUCUGACAGGUCCAUGGUUUUCCUGUGCUGGGGCCCCCAGAGCUGCAUGCAGCACUGCAGGUGGGGUCCUGCCAGAGCAGAGUGAAGAGGCAGAAUCCUCUCCCUCACCUGCUGCCCACCCUGCGUUGGAUGCAGCCCAGGAUGGACUCAGCCUUUGGGGCAGCAGCACACACUGAAGCACUGAUGGAUGUGGUGCAGGAAAAAGGCCUUUUCAAUGCAAUAGUAUUCUUUAUAUAGAAACAUCAAGUGAAUCUGAGUUGGUUUAUUACAAGAGAAUUUGAACGCUGCCCAAGCUUUGAUUUGGCAGAGCCAAGAAUUUUGUUUUUCCACUAUCAGGAAAAAAGGCCAAAAAAACGUAUUUUUUUUCCUUCCUGUUAGAAAAUUGCAUUUGUAUGAUAUGAAACUCCUUUCUUGCUGAAACCACACAACUGCAAAUUUCUUUAAGAGAGACAGCUGGAGGAUUGGUCUUUGAGGGAAAGUGUGUGUACACAGGCCUGCAUGGAUUUAAAAUUGUUUUUACAAAAUAGGUUUUCAUAUAGCUCAGGUAAAAUAGUCUCUUGUAAGAUGUCUUCAGCUUCCUAGCCUUGUGGGUGAUGAGGAAUGUAAUAGUCAGCUUCCUCUUAAGGUACAGCUUUGAGUCAUAGCUGUUUCCCUCUUUAGGCAGAUGUGCAAAGAGAAAUCUCUAUAGACUCUCCAGACAGAUCUCUCUUGACUCUCUAAAACAGCCUCAGCUGUUUUGGCCAGUGAAGAAAGGGAUUAAAAUAAGUAUAUUGUGUGAGUAGGUGUGGAUUUAGUUUCUUUGACAGGACUUUUUGAUUGUUAUUCCCACAGAUUUUGCUGUUUGCAAGAAUAAUUGCAAAUUAUUCUUUUUUUUGGCUGCACUGAUACAGUCCUGAGGAGUGCAAAUUGUCUCCUACUUGGUUUUUCCUUCUGUUCUUGUCACACAUAAUUGCUGAUCUGUACUGGUACCCUGCAGACAUCAGUGUAAUAGCUAAAUUCAGUGUGAUUUUUUUUCUGAAUUAAAUAUCACUUCAAAGAAAACUAAGGGGUCUGCUUAGCUUCUGGUUUGGAUUGACUCAUUUUGUCCACAGUUUUUUCCUGUUUCCCGUGGUAUUUAGUGUGUGGGUGUGUACAAGGCAAGACUGUUUUGAGUGCUGAGCUGUUAAGCAGCUGACAGAAGUAACUGUCUUUUGGUUGUGAGCCUUUCUGUAGAAAAUAUUGUCAUAUGGGGAGGGGGGUCUAUUUUUUUUGGAGAUUUUUUUAAGGCACUAUGAGGCCCUUGUGGAUGAGACUAACAGUGAUGUCAUUAUUCCAGCAAAAGUGUUCUAGUAUUUGCUUGAUUUAAUAACUGAGGAAAAUAAUUUAGGAAAAUUCUAGAGCAAUUUGAUAUUCUGUCAUGCCAGCUGGAAAUGGGGGGGUAGCAAAAAUAAGUUUAUUCUUCUGAGUCUGAUGAAUUUUUACUCUACUUUCUCAGGUUUCUAUUUUUUUCUUAAUUCUGAGUUAGAACUUCCUUCUUGCAACAGGCUUGUUCAAUACUGAAUGAAGCAAAAGCAAUAUGCACAAAGUCUGAGAGUAGUGUGUGAGUUGAGUGCUGCAUGUAGACUAAGGAAAAAAUACUUCAUUGUAUUCUGUGUGACUUGAAUGGAAAAAACAGUGAAGGAAGUGUCUUUGUUAUGGUAACUGCUGAGCUUUUUCCUCUCUUUUACUAGCCUUUGUCAGUGAAAUCAGGUGUGAUUAAUACAUCUUGUGAAUGGAAUUAUGUCUAUAAAAAUGUCACAAUUCAGAAAUCUGGUUAUCUAGCCAAGUCAUUGUUUUCGUUUUCUGGCUUCAAAAAUAUGAUUUCCAAACAACCUUGAAUGAGGCUCUUAAUAUUCUCAUUUUCAUGAUUGUCCUCUCCACCACUUCCCAAUGGGGUUGUAAUCACACCAGGUAAAAGCUGAUGCAGAGUUGUUUAACAAGCUUGGUCUGGACCAUGUUCGGUCUGUUGUUUCUAAAAUAGUUCUCUUAAGGAUUUUUUUUCUCCUGAGGAAAGUAUUUAUCACAUUUCUAGCUUCCAUUAAUUCUUACAGAAGUGAGAGAACUGCAAACACAUUUUUAAGUUUAAUGCAUACUGAGGUGUUUUUCUUGAUGAAGUUGAUUCUGAAGAACUAGAUUCUCCAAGAUCCUGGUUGCAUGAACUAAAAGCUUUCUGAGGUUUGUCAGUUGGCAUACAAACAAAAAAAAAAAAGCUGAAAUCCUUGACACCUCUGCAUUUUUGCCAGUGAAGUUGUCAGUUACUUCAAAGAUCCAGACAUGGGCCGGGAGCUGCAGCUUUCAUGACAAGUGAGCGGCCCAAAUCUGUUGAGAUCUUCAAAGCAGACAUUGUUCUUUUUCUCUCAUUUGAGGCCCGAUCUAAUUAGCUUUUCUGAAGUGUCUAUUGGAAAUGGUCCUAAAUGAAAUACAGCCACAGAAAAACAAGAAAAGUAAGGAUAGACUGAACAAAGUGUUUGAAAACAGUGCUGUUACAGAGUGUAACAAAAGCAGGUAUGGUAAGUUUGGAUGUGGGAUUAUUUUUUAAUUUCAUUGUUUUUUGUGCAAAAGCCCCAUUGGUCUAUGUAGGGAUCAGAGCUCUGCAGUAUUGAGCACAGGAUGAAAAGUGUCAGCAUUUCAAAAUCAGUUAGUUCCACUUUCUUUUGUUGUAUCUUGUGUAAAUUUUUACCUACAGCUCCCUCCCUCACACUAUCAGACCUGUUCCAUACAUUCUUUGUUCUUUUUCCUUGAUGAUUUUAAUUUUCCUGAAAUACUGAUAUUGUUUCCCGUGAAAUGACAGUUGCUCAUGUUUGUAUCGCAUUUCUUCUAGUAUGUUUUGAACCUGGUGGUCAACAGCAAUUAAAGUUCAUAGAUGUGUCAAAGAUCUCUCAAACGUUCAUGAAAAUAGGUAGUUAGCCAUGAAGGCAUGGACUUAGUACAGGAGAAGUUGGAAUGUAAGUUUUUUUAGAUUCAAGAAAACUUUCUGGGAAUUCUCUCCUAUUAGAUUACAGAGAAUUAAUUCACUGAUUGCCCGUGAACUAUAGAAAGUGAGCUUUUGUUGAUGACAACUGUUUGUAUUUUUUGGAGGAUAUUUGAAUGUCUGUAGAUUAUAAUAUAUUUGUUUUAAAGGACAAUUUGUUUAUAGACAAAAUGUAUUUUAUUAAAAAGCUUGAAUACCUUGCAGACCUAAGCUGUUGGGUCUGACGUUGUUUUCUGUGUCUUCAACGAGCCAGUGGUAGUUGAAUAAAGGACAAUGCAAUGUAUCCUGAUAAAAUACUUGCUGGAUGCUCCCCCAAAUUGAAACAGUUACUGACACGCUUUCUUUUUUUUUUUUCUUUUUCCUACUCUUCAGCUAGGCAAAUAUGUUAAAAAUAGACUGGUUUUGAAAUACACUGUUUGCAAGAAGAAAUACCUACUGCCUGUAGUGUUACAUUGUAGUAGCUCUGAGUAGAAUCUGGUAAUUCAGUCUUAAAUUUGAAAUGCUGGUAAUUUCUGACCUUCUGGGUAAAGUUCAAAGCAAAAAAGACACAAUUUUUUUCCGGUUGUUUUAGAGUGACACCUUGUGGAGUGUAAAUGUCUGCACUUUAUUUUCAAACUGAUAAAGCAGCCAAAGGAUGUGCCAAAAGUAGAGAAUUUCUUGUAUCCUAUGGGGGAGAUCUGGGGGGUGGGGUGUUCUGUGGCUGUUGAGGACAGAAACUCAUUUUUCUUGCUGUUCCUGUGUUAAUACAUAUUUAGAAAUAAGUGAUUUUGAAUUUGAUACCCUUUCAAGAAGGAAAAAAUUAUAUUGACAGUUUUUCGAUUUAUAGUCUUUCUGACCAAUAGUCCCAUUUAAUCAAAGACAAAAUGGGAAUGAUUUAAUUUUGAUUUAUAAUAAUAAUAAUAGGAUUUAUCUAAAUGCUAUUACAAAUACUGCUAUUGAAGUACAGUAGUUAUUAGUUCUAGAUCACAGAAAUUAAAUACACUAAAAAACCUAAGUAUCAUUUGAGAUGUAAUGAUGUGAAGGGAAAAUGAAAUAAUGCAAUUUUAAUUCUGGCAUAUGGGAAUAUCAUUCUGGAAAUGGAAGGGGGAAGUAAAAAAGGGGAAUGUAGAACACAGGAAAAGGUAAAGGCAAAGUCAUGAAGAAAAUCAUUCUUCAGGAUAAAUAGAUUCUACUUUUCUAACAAAUUGCACAGUUCUCCAUAACAGCCGUGACUAUACAGCGUUCUGUCCCCCAUAGAUGUGUCUGCAAGUGACCAUGUGGAUAGUUCAUAUGUGAAUUUUUCCACAGCACCUGUGAAGUGGAUGAACUGAGCACCUAAACAGAAUUUUUUUUGACUCUUUCAAGAGAAUUAGCCAAAUGCAUGAGAUGUGAUGUCAAGAUCUAGAGCAACAAAUGCAUUUGCAUAUGUAAAAAGAAAAAAAAUCCCUAAACUCAAAUCAAGCAUAAAACAUCAGUGAAGGCUUCUUUCUUGACAGCCCAGGAGUGUGAAACCCCAGAAGGAUUAGAACAACACUGAAGUUCCCUGUGAUAUGUUCCACUGGUCUCUUCUGAUCUGAAAAGACCAGUGGGUGUGAUGAAAAUGCCAUCUGUUUAUAGCUUUUCAUAAAAUGAAUUCUGGAAAGUAGGAAAUGAGGUGAGCAGGGUACCCUUUUGUUGGGAGCUGUUCUGAUACCACAAAUGCCAUUUAACUUUUAUCCAUGAUACCCAUAACACAAGAAGAGAAGAAGGUGGUUAGAGUGCCUGCUCCUGUAUGGUAAUUCCUAUAUUCCCCAUGGAUGAAGGAACAGGACUAAGCAAUUAAAAUGCAUUUCAAAAUAAGGGAAUGAGCAGAACAGAAUAUCUCACAUGCACUUCUCUGUACAACAUACAUUAAAUGCUUGGAGCUUGGAGUAAAUGUGUGUUUGGAAAUGCUUAGUUAAUGGCAUAAUGCAUCUCUCAUUGUGAUGUUUACUUCUGUGACUUCAGAAUCUCAAAUCUUUAAACCUUUAACCUAAUUCCUAUUUCUACUAUAGCCAACAAGGAAUAAGGAUAAGGAAGAAGGUCUAACUACUCCACCAGUAGUAAAAUCUUGAUACUUCAGUCUGUUGCCUAAGCUUCUUGUCCAGUGCUUGGGGAUGAUAGUCUUGCAAAGGAAAUUCUGUAAAUCACAUUGGAGCUCUGCUGAGUUGGGUGGUUAGUGAAGACAGCACAGCUUUAUUGUGCAGAUGCUUGAGCUGAAAACAGCUCUUGUGUAGUGAUACAAUCUGAAAAAAUGGAAUCCCAGUUGUGCAACCUUUCUGUUUCAAGCCUCAUUAGAGAACUGGGUUUGUGUUUAUUCAGGCUUAGUGUUUUAAUCCACUUGUUCUACAGUCAGAUAAGGUCUAGUACCACUGAGGGUUUGUAUUCUGUUAGUUAUUUGUAAAAAAUGCAUUUUUACUUUGUAGGAGUGACUUAAUUUUGCUUUCUUUGACUUUGUGGUGGUUUUGGCUGGGGUAGAGUUAAUUUUCUUCACAGUAACUGGUAUGUGGCUGUGCCUCAGGCUUGUGCUGAGAGCGGUGCUGAUAACACAGAGAUGUUUCACCUAUUGCUGAGCAGUGCUGAUACAGCAUUGAGGCCUUUCCUGCUUCUUGUGAGGAGGCUGGGGUGGCACAAGAAGCUGACCCCAGCUGACUGAAGGCGUUUCCACAUGCUGAUACCAGCACUCCACAGGGUGCCUUUCUGCAUAUAAAGCUGUGUGGAGCUGCUGGUUGGGCUGAAACCAUGACAGUCUUGUUAGCUAAGUACAGAAAUGAGACAAAGUUCAUUUUAAGUGUGUAUUCCCCAGAGAUCUGCCCUAAAAACAGGAUGAAGACUGGAGAUGGUGGACUCCCAUGCAUACAGGAAAGGAUUGGGAUAUGCCUGAGUUGGGAUUUAUGUCCCAGGGCUGUUUGCAAACCUGUGCCUUAUGGAGAUUCCAAGUUCUGCAGCAGAAGCUUGACAGUGGAGGUAGGAAUUCUCUAUUAAGUUACAUUUAUAGACAUUCCAAAAUUACACUUGCAAAUGGACAAUUUUUUUCUUGAGUAUACUGGGUACAAUAACCAAGACAGCCACUACUCAUCACUGUAUGUAUUGCAGGUGAGAGAAGCUUCAGAGAUGUAAAUGAUGCUCAAAUGCAUAAAUAGAGGUACUAAAAGGGGCAUGUGUCCCUCCUUUGAAAAUGAAGAGUCCCUGGAAUGCCUUGACAGAGAAAAGAAAGUAGGAUUUCCCAGAUUUCAGGGGCAAGAAAAAGCAAGAAUACUUGGUAUACACAGCUAUGAAUAUACAAUGCUGAAAAAUUUUAGGAAAUGUGAAAAAUCAAUGUACAUAGAGAUGACAAGCAGAUGACAUGGGCAAUGCAUUAGUCCAAUGGGAACAUAUCUGGGUCUAGAAAUCAUGGACACAAUCUAAAAAAUUUUGGCCUCUGCCUAAAAAAAAUAUUUCUAGCUGAAGUUGCAGAUGUGUAAAGUAAAAGGUAAAAGAAAUAUUUCUGUAAAUAAAAAAAAAGUAUUAGUGAGUUACAUGAAACAAUACACAAGUAACUUUAUCUCAAAAAUGCUCAGAACUAAAACUGCCCAUUAACCUAGACUUCAAGAAAUGAAGGAAUAAUUUUUCUCUUAUUUCAGGUAGAAUUCAGUAAACUUUGAGACAGUUGCAAGGAAGUUAAGAUUUAAUUCUUCCAGGCCACGAUUGUUCUCCAAAUGUGUGAAAAUUAAUUUUCUAGAACUCCCAUGCCAGUGCUUCACAUACAAAUAAUACUCUAUAAUCACAAAGGAAGUUAGGAAGAACUGAGAGAGCCUUGCAUUUGCAGGCCCCUCCUCAAAGGGUAAAUCAUCUCAAAUUUAUUAUAAUUUUUUAUAUCCUGAUGUAACAUACUUUUGUUGGUUUUGUGAAGGUAACAGCCAGAUAAAAUCCUUCUAAAUGUUCCCUAUCAGCUCCUCUUAUAUUCAAGUAGAUUCCUAGAAGUUAAGAUGUAAAAAGUAAGCAUGACAUUACAACUUUGGAAGUAGAAUAAGGUAGCUUGCAGUUUUCACAUGUUGUCUAACUAAUGGUAAAUUUGAGUGAGUGAUUGUGCAAUAGCUGUUAAUAUUUUAUUUUUGAGAAGUGGCAUGAAAAGAGAUUAAGUUUCACUUGGCUAUAUAGCCUCUCAUUUCCAUGAACAUUUUUAUUUUGUCAAAAAAUAUAUAACUCCUCCUUUGACAGAACAUUACAAUUUAAAUUUUCCUUUGGCACAGCAGAAAACUUUGCAUCUGUUUCUACAAAAUAUAUUUCAAGUAUUGCACCAGCAGAGGUCCAGCAACUGUGCUUGUGAAAUGAGGUAAUUCCAAAUUAUUAUUUCCAGCAUGAUAGAUAAAUGUAACAGGUUAAUAAAAAGCCAGUACUAGUUUUAGCAUCUGGAUUAUAUAUUUCUGAUUCUUGGUCUGUGCUCAGCAAUGCUGUCUGAUGUUCUAGGUUCUUGAAGUGGAAGCAAAUGAUAUAACCAAAACAAAGACAACAGCACAGUGGAAGAUUUCAGAUAAGCUGCUGAAGCUACAGUUGUCUGGCACUAGUCAAAUUCACAUGAUUAAAAAUCCUCUCCUGUUUUUAUUUCAGCAUCUUAGAAAAAACAUUGAAAUGUCCUGCAAAAGCAACUGCAGUAUAGGAGUAGUGAUAGGGAGGAUUCAUGAGAUACAUUUACUCUUGGAGAUGAUUCCCAAAUUUAGGCUGCUGUCUCAGUCACUUAAGCCCCUUGAGUAAGACCGUGACCCAGAAAAACAGUCCUGUCUUUCCCCAGUCAUGUAUUUCCACUGCUUCUUCUGAGCCAGUAAUAACAUUAGCACAAUUGCAUGGUAAGCUGGGUUAGAGACUAGCUGAAAAUUUUGCCUGAUUUAGCUUCAAGCAGAACAGGCUGAUUGAGCUUCCUGUAUGGCCAUACAAAUAACAAUGUGGGCAGAGGGGAACAGACAUGAUCCUGCAUGUGAGAAAUCAGGACAGCUGGUUUUAUAACAGAGAGCACAUGAUUCAGAGUGAGUGUCAGUAUAUCUUGUGUUUUUGAGGAGAUGAAUAGAAAAAUUGGGAAACUAUCAUCAGGGCAGAAAAAGUUCCCAACUCAUGUGCAUGGAGAAGGAAUUGCAGACAAGGAUUUUCCUUCCUCUGGUUAUGUGCUGGUCCCAUGGAAAGGAAAGGGGGGCAGUUUUGAGUCUUUCAGUGUUGGCUGUUUUGAAAGACUUUGUGUGCCAUUAGUAGGAUCUGGAAGACAUUCUGCAUAUUGGAUGCAUCUGUAGUAAACUGAGAUUUUCAAUGAUGCAAGUGAAACUUAGGCUGUUGGACCUUGUUUACUUUCACUGGAAAGGAGGCCUUUACCUCCAAAGCUCAGAGUGGCAAGAAUCCCUUCUGUGAAAUGAUCCUCAUACAUUUGUUCAAGUGUUGCAGCCACUGGGCCAGAGUGAUUUAACUCUCCUUGAGACAGACUCUACUAUGCAGUUUUUAGUGAUGCACUAUUUUACAGGGGCCCCUGACACAUUUACUGCUUUGAUGGCACCUGCAAAAUUGUACAUUAAGUUUAAGCACAUCUAAAAGCAGGAUAUCUUGAAGAGUGAGCAUUUGCAGUGAGACAGUUAACUCAGUGGUUGUAUUUUUGCUUCUCCCAGCCGAUGUUCUGGGAAGUUUAGCUCUGCAAAGCUGGUUUAGGUUUUUUGUUUUGUUUUUGGCACUUUUUAAAACUGUUGUCAAUGGGAUUAUGCAUGAUUAAGGGUAUAGAUCUAACUCAAAGAGUCUGUAAGCCCUAAUGCUCUAGAUGAAUGAUAGAAAAUUUAUUUUGCAUGACAUAAUGUAUAAUUUUUUCUCCUUUUGUUUGCUACACUGUGGCCAGCAGUGUGAUUUAUCCUGAACCUAAACACUUUACCAAGACAUAUUUGAUUAGAAAUAUUAGCCAUUACCAAGGCACAUAUUUUAGCUAUAUAAGCAAUCCUAUACCAGCUGUGAAAUCUUAAAAUAACUCAAUCUGAACAACUGAGUUAACAGACUCAGACAAAAUACUGUAUUAUGCUUAUGGAUAAUCCACCGUAUUAAACAGUGAGAUGUAUCUUUGGCAACUUUAUUUUGGACAAAGACAAUUAAGAUUGAGAUUAGAGACGUUGUAAGCUUGAAUACAUAAUUAGAGUCCAAAGAUUUGGCCUUCAGACUUUAAGGGGCAGCUGCAAAUAUCUGACCUGAGUUGCCUAAGCACUCCAAAGAAGAAAAUUUGCUUUGCAAUCUUGUACCAAAUUUCAUAAUUCAUGUAACUCACUCAGUAUUAGAAAUUAUUUUAACUGAGAGAUUACAAAAACAAGUAUUUUUUUUAUGUGGAAAGGUAAUUCUGCAAUUUUAGGAGUUCUACUACAAAAUUUGAAGAAAAUGGGCAUAUGCUUAUAGACAGAUAUUCUGUCCUGUAUUACACAAGAUAUUUUUCUGGUUUUCAAAAUAAAUUUGAGGAGGCCUUUCUUUUCUGUUUGGAGCUAAGCUUAUCUAGAGGGCUACAAUUUAUAGUCAUAUCUUGUUAUAUGCUUUUAUGUAUUCUUUAGACCUUAAUUGUCAAAUUAUGUGACAGUUCAAAGUUCCUGGAAUAUAAAAAUCUGGUGUCUCUAAAUAAUUUCCAUUUAAGUAGCUUUAAAGUAAAGAGACACUCAUCACUGAAUUAAUUGGCGUUACAGAAGUGUCACAUGCAUGAACACAACAUAAGUGUGCUGUAAUAAACCUGGUGAUGCAGUGAGCUGGGCCUAAGAAAAUACCUGUUUCAAUGCACUCAUUUUAUUUCCUGAAGCACUCCCUAAGGGGCAUUUUUUGAGUGACAGCAGAGGACACUUGGGUGAAGUGUUAGCUGAAGAGCUCCAGCAGUGAAGGGUAGCAUUAACUCUGAAUGAAAAACAGCAAGCUAGUUCCUUGCUUGAGAUAAAAAUGUCUUCAUUAAUUAUAUUCUCUUUAAUUUGAAGUAUAAUUCAAAUUGACUAGAUUCUUCCCAGUGUUAGUCAGCAGUUUCCUACAGAAAUGGCUGUGCUGAGUUCCCUGUUUAACCACACAUUGCCACAUGCAACUGCAGGUCAUGGGGCCUGCUGGCUGGUCAGCUGCUGAAAUUCCAGAGCUGCCACAAGGACUGCAGGACACUGAAAACAUAUAAUAAUUAUUUCCUCAUUAAGAGUUUAAAAAGUAUAGCUCAUUUUACCUUUUGACUGUUUAGAAUACUUGCACAAGAGUAUAGUUGUAUUUUUAUUAGUUGCAUUUGGUUUUAUUUUCAUGUUUGCUAGGACACUUUAUUCUUUAUUUCAACAUAAAGUCCUGCUUCUUUAGCUGUUUUAAUUCCUGUCACUUUUAACUGUGUGAAAUGGAUUCCCAGACAGCCAACAGGAAGUGUUUUUAGGUCAGCAGCUAAUUUUCCCAGGCCCAUUUUGCAGACUCUUGUGAUUUAUACCAACUCUAUUUAUAGAGGAAAGACUUUUUUUAACCUAUGAACUUGCUAUCCUCACGUUGGCAUUUUUUCUAUCAGCUGAUGUAUCUGCUUGUUGAGUGAUGGUGACAGCAAAGUUAAUAAGCUACACUAGUGGAAAAAUGUAUUACAACAGACAAGAAUUUAAUAAUUUAAUGAUGGUCUAGGCACUGCCUGCAUCCUGCAGUGUUGGUGUGCAUGUCAGGAGCACCAUGGGAGGACAGCACAUCUGUGAUUACAGAGUAAUCUCUCCAUUUUAUUUACUUGGUCCCCUUCCCUGUAGCACAUGAACAACUUGCUGUUUUAAAGAUUUUAGUCUUAAAAAAACCCCUUUCAUAUAGUGAGGUUCUAUGAUGCCCAUUCACUGAAAGGGAAAUGAGAUAUAGGGGUUAAGUGGUUUUCAAAAGCCUUGCACAGUCUGCAAUGGAGCAGAAAAAUGAAUUUGGGUUCCUUAACUGUGGGCAAAUCUCUGGGUGGUUAUUCUCAAAAAUAAAACAGUCAUGAGUUCUGUCUCUCUGGUUUUGUAGUUUAAAAUGUGAUAACAAAAACCACAAGUUUCAUCUGAUUGAAGGAGGAAAACUUUCUUCUUCCCCCCCUUUCCCCAACAGAAACUUAAUCUAAGGAUUGUGCCAGGUUUUGCUGUAUUUGAGGGGAAAUUUUUAAAUGUUGACAUGGAAGCCUCAAUUUUAUUUCUGUAGGCUUGUUUAUGUCCUGGAUACUUUUUCAUUGAGAGGGAAAGAAUUCUCUGAAAUACAAAGAGAAAAUGUUUUUAUUACUUUUAUUGAUUUUGUAGCCUUUCUACUCAAAGAACAUUGAUAUGAACAACCACUGAUGGUGGACAGAAUUCACAAGAAAAUAUUUUGGCUUCUUUUCAUGUAUAGUUUUCAAUCUUGCAUGGUUUUUCAAAGGCAAAUGUCCUGCCUAAUCCCACAUAGGACCUGAGGAAGUAGAACAAAAUCUGUAAGAAGUACACACUCAAAAUUACAUAUCUGUUGAUCAUUUGUUUAAUGAUCAACAUAAUUAAAUUUUGGUUCUUUACCUUUAAGAUCCAUAUUUCCAUUUUCUGUACUUUCUAGACAUAUACAUGGGGCUUUUUGGCCUCUCUGCACUUCCAAUUGAGUUCCUACAGGUAUUCACAAUUGUAGUACCCUGCUAAAAAUCAAAAAGGCCCAUGCCUGGACACUUUUCUAUUGAAAACUUGGAUGCUUCAACUUAAUUUUCAUACUGAGAAUUUUCUCACUUUUUAAUUUCACCUCUUGAUUUGAAAAUUAACUGAUGAAAGUCUAUUUUCACUCAAGACAGAUGUUAAUACUUAGGGGAACUUAGCUUGAGAAUGUGUUUCACAGGAAUAAUUCUUGAGAUUCAUCUGUACAGCUCACCAUAUUUAGCUUGAUUCCCUGUCUCUGAAACCUGUAACUUUUCUUCAGAUCUAUCCUUCAAACAAAACACUUUUUUAUUCUGCUUUAAAAGGAUGGUAUUCUGGGGAGCUGUAAGAUAAGGCAAUAAUCUUCCCUCAUAUUCUUCUUCAUACAGAGAGCUCAGCCUGACACAUGAUAAACACAUGAUCUUCUGGUGAGCCAUGUUUCAAAAGACUUCAAUCACUUGCAUAUUACCCUUUAUUAGCUCAUAUUACAGGACUUGUAAGCUCAUAAUACACAAAAAUGUUUUUAACUGUGAGCUGCCACAACUGAUACUCAAAAUUAUGAGGUAUUGACAGUUGAUAAAAGUAGGGGAUGUUAUUUUCUCAAGAUGAAUCUGAGAGAAGAUGGCUUUGUAUGAACAUGCUGUCCUGAAUUGCUGGCCAUGGUUCAGUUCUCAUUCUUGGUGGAGAUUAGGCACAGCUUCAUUGAAACUAAAGAAGUUGUAUUUGCCUAGACUUGUAUGAAAUAAGAAGAGACUAACACAUACCCCUUUAUAGAAUGGGAUCUUUCACAGGCAGGACAGACUAAAACACAGUAGGCUCUUAUUCAUACUCCAUAUAGACUCUCUAGCUAGCAAAGUGCUUUGUGGCAGCACUGCCUGGUUUUACACAUUUUGUUUUGUUUAGUUAGGCUUUUCUCUACAAGGGGUUUUAUUGUUCAAGAGGGGGCACUCCCACCCUUGCUCAUAGUCAAGUCAUGGAGUAAUUACUGCUCUUUACAUGCCAAGAUCUCAGACCAAGAAAAGGCAGCCAAUCCUGAUACAGGAAGACACACACUGGCACAAAAAAACUAACUAGGGAGACAAUGAAGAGAGGAAAACACAGAGUGAGCCUGUAUGGGAUUGUGCUCUAUCUGCCUGUGACAGUAGCAUCAGGGGCAAUGUUGUUUUUCCCCAGCAGCUUUCCAAUAUAGUUACUCCAUUCACUGAUGAAUUGAGAGUAUGUGAAACUGUGCCAAAGCUAAUCAAAUCAAAUUCCACCCAGCUGGUUAAAUCCAAUUGCCUGUGCCUUCCUCCACAAUGCAAGGGCAUCCAUGGUACACUCUGCUGAACUGCCUCCUCCCUCCCAAAGCUCACUGCACGUCUGUGCAGUGUGGGUGAUCUUCCCCCAAAAGCGUAAUGCGUGGGUUUCUGGCUGCUUCUGAGUGCAGAUCUUAUCUUGUUCAAUCCCUGGAGAAACAAUAAAACCAAAAAGAACAGUUACAUAUA